ACAACCUUACUUGAACAGGAUCUGUUCUAUUGGUUGUAGUUCUGUUUCCUUGAGUUCUAAGGAGACAGGAAUCUAAGUCUGGUUGAUGAACCAUGACCGUGCGAUCAGAGCGUGAAUAAUAGAUUCACGGUCCUUGGAUCGUUGGAUCAGUAUAGGAUCGUUCUCAGCCACUCUUCAGAAUGGCUGCGAUGGUCGCAUGGUUGCUUGACAGACU